rnacentral:rRNA from 1 species
UACGAAGGGGGCUAGCGUUGCUCGGAAUCACUGGGCGUAAAGGGUGCGUAGGCGGGUCUUAAGUCAGGGGUGAAAUCCUGGAGCUCAACUCCAGAACUGCCUUUGAUACUGGCGAUCUCGAGUCCGGGAGAGGUGAGUGGAACUGCGAGUGUAGAGGUGAAAUUCGUAGAUAUUCGCAAGAACACCAGUGGCGAAGGCGGCUCACUGGCCCGGUACUGACGCUGAGGUGCGAAAGCGUGGGGAGC